CCAUGGUAUUGAAGGUGGUAGAGAGUGUUUGUACAUUCACUCACACCUACAAUCCCUGGCA
rnacentral:pre_miRNA from 1 species